rnacentral:rRNA from 1 species
GACGAACGCUGGCGGCGUGCUUAACACAUGCAAGUCGAACGGAAAGACCCUGCUUGCGUGGGACGCUCGAGUGGCGAACGGGUGUGAAACACGUGAGUAAUCUGCCCCUGACUGUGGGAAAACUGCAGGAAAGUGGGGCUAACACCGGAUAGGAGCUCCUGCGGCAUGGGGGGGGAUGGAAAGUUUGGGCGGUUGGGGAUGGACGCGCGGCUUAUCGGCUUGUUGGUGGGGUAGCGGCUUACCAGGGCAUGGGCGGGUGGCCGGCCUGGGAGGGUGACCGGCCACAUUGGGACUGGGGUACGGCCCGGACUCCUACGGGGGGCAGCGGUGGGAAUUUUUGCCCAAUGGGCGGAAGCCUAAGGCGGCAACGCCGCGUGCGGGAUGACGGCCUUCGGGUUGUAACCCGCUUUCGCCUGUGACGAAGCGUGAGUGACGGUAAUGAGUAAAGAAGCACCGGCUAACUACGUG